UCAGGCUUGCGCCCAUUGUCCAAUAUUCCCCACUGCUGCCUCCCGUAGGAGUCUGGACCGUGUCUCAGUUCCAGUGUGGCUGAUCAUCCUCUCAGACCAGCUACGGAUCGUCGCCUUGGUGGGCCUUUACCCCGCCAACUAGCUAAUCCGACAUCGGCUCAUUCAAUCGCGCAAGGUCCGAAGAUCCCCUGCUUUCACCCGUAGGUCGUAUGCGGUAUUAGCGUAAGUUUCCCUACGUUAUCCCCCACGAAAAAGUAGAUUCCGAUGUAUUCCUCACCCGUCCGCCACUCGCCACCCAGAGAGCAAGCUCUCCUGUGCUGCCGUUCGACUUGCAUGUGUUAGGCCUACCGCCAGCGUUCACUCUGAGCCAGGAUCAAACCCUC
rnacentral:rRNA from 1 species